rnacentral:rRNA from 1 species
AGAGUUUGAUUAUGGCUCAGGAUGAACGCUGGCGGCGUGCUUAACACAUGCAAGUCGAACGAAGCACAUAAGGACGAGUCUUCGGAUGAAGCCGUAUGUGACUGAGUGGCGGACGGGUGAGUAACGCGUGGGUAACCUGCCUCACACAGGGGGAUAACAGUUGGAAACGACCGCUAAUACCGCAUAACCCGCUAGGGGCGCAUGCUCCGGACGGAAAAGAUUAAUCGGUGUGAGAUGGACCCGCGUCUGAUUAGCCAGUUGGCAGGGUAACGGCCUACCAAAGCGACGAUCAGUAGCCGGCCUGAGAGGGUGAACGGCCACAUUGGGACUGAGACACGGCCCAAACUCCUACGGGAGGCAGCAGUGGGGAAUAUUGCACAAUGGGGGGAACCCUGAUGCAGCGACGCCGCGUGAGUGAAGAAGUAUUUCGGUAUGUAAAGCUCUAUCAGCAGGGAAGAAAAUGACGGUACCUGACUAAGAAGCCCCGGCUAACUACGUGCCAGCAGCCGCGGUAAUACGUAGGGGGCAAGCGUUAUCCGGAUUUACUGGGUGUAAAGGGAGCGUANACGGCGAUGCAAGUCAGAAGUGAAAGCCCGCGGCUCAACUGCGGGACUGCUUUUGAAACUGUAUAGCUUGAGUGCAGGAGAGGUAAGCGGAAUUCCUAGUGUA